AAACUAUGAUUUGGAGACUUUAACAAAUACUCCUUGAAAGUCUCCCACGCUUCAUAUAGCUGCUCCCCUAGAAGCUGUUUGAAAUCAAAAAUCUUAUCACUAAUUUC